rnacentral:rRNA from 1 species
AUUGAACGCUGGCGGCAUGCCUUACACAUGCAAGUCGAACGGUAACAGGUCUUCGGAUGCUGACGAGUGGCGAACGGGUGAGUAAUACAUCGGAACGUGCCUAGUAGUGGGGGAUAACUACUCGAAAGAGUGGCUAAUACCGCAUGAGAUCUACGGAUGAAAGCAGGGGAUCGCAAGACCUUGUGCUACUAGAGCGGCCGAUGGCAGAUUAGGUAGUUGGUGGGAUAAAAGCUUACCAAGCCGACGAUCUGUAGCUGGUCUGAGAGGACGAUCCACCACACUGGGACUGAGACACGGCCCAGACUCCUACGGGAGGCAGCAGUGGGGAAUUUUGGACAAUGGGCGCAAGCCUGAUCCAGCAAUGCCGCGUGCAGGAUGAAGGCCUUCGGGUUGUAAACUGCUUUUGUACGGAACGAAAAGCCCCGGGUUAAUACCCUGGGGUCAUGACGGUACCGUAAGAAUAAGCACCGGCUAACUACGUGCCAGCCGCCGCAGUAA